rnacentral:lncRNA from 1 species
UCGAUUUUGGAUAACAAUGUUUUAUUUUAAAAAUUAUUGUAGUAUAUAUUUUGUUAUCGUGUUAAUCUAAUAUUUAUCAUGAUAUGAAUACCAAAAUGUAUACUUAUCAUGAUAGUAUAUUAUUUAGCAUGCUAACUAAAUAGUUAUAGAGUGAUGAACAGUAGUUGUUGAUUUUGGAUAAUAGUGUUAUCGAUCGGUUUAUGAACAGUAUCGCUAACAUUUUUAAACUAAGUAAUCAUUUCAAUAUAAUGGCAUUUUUGUAAUUAAAAUUAAAAUAGAGGAUACAUAUGGUAAAAAAGAAAGAAAGAGAGAGAACUAAAUAUGAAAGAAAGAAGGAUACAUUUUUUUUUAGUUGGGUAUAUAGAUUAAAUUGACCCAUGAAAGUACUUUUCUAUAGAGGAG